rnacentral:rRNA from 1 species
UACGGAAGGGGCAAGCGUUGUUCGGAAUCACUGGGCUUAAAGGGCGCGUAGGCGGGUUCCCAAGUCGGUGGUGAAAUCCUUCGGCCCAACCGGAAAACAGCCGCCGAUACUGGGAGUCUUGAGGGAGGUAGGGGUCGAUGGAACUUCCGGUGGAGCGGUGAAAUGCGUAGAUAUCGGAAGGAACGCCGGUGGCGAAAGCGAUCGACUGGACCUUUUCUGACGCUGAGGCGCGAAAGCCAGGGGAGCAAACGGG